ACAGGUCCAUCAUGCACUGCGCAGUCGGAUCUACUGAUUGAUUGGUGACAUCCAUCAGCGGAUCCCGUGUGUCUCCAGCAUUUUAUGAAUGUGGGAUCUCUAGCUGGAGAGACGAAAUGGCUUCAAGUGGGAGGCCGUUGGCGGACCUGUUGCGCGAUGUGGCUGACCAGCUCGAAAGAACAUCGGGUGGUUCAUCAAAUUCAUCACCUCAGCCGCCAGAUAGGCCUAAUGUUAACGUUACACCCACCGUUACACCCAGACACCCAGUGGACGCCGAGGUUUCAAGACUGUUUGGCCCAUACGCAUGUGGAGGGAGAAGGUUGACAAUGCGGCGAUCCACUGCUGCACCCGUACAACUUCACUCAUACACCCAUUUAUUCUGUUGUCUUGACGAUAAAAACGUGGAGUUAGUCCCCAAUCGAUGUGUUAAACAGAGGCUCGCUGCUGCAGGGUUAGGGGAGAAACGUCUUACAUUUCAAGGUAUUCAGACAAAUCCAGAGGAGUUCAGAGAAUUCCUUUUAGCGGCAUAUCCUAAGCUCAGACAGGGGGGAGGAUUUGAACUGCUAAAAAUAUCUGGAACAACUCGGAGUCGUGAACUGGUCCUCAUCCCCUGUCCCAGUGAUGGCUACCAUGUCCGAUAUCUAAAGGAACCACAAACUCAGAUUGGUCAUGCAACAAUUUUUAUCCGACCACUUCAGAGGAAUCUGAAUCUGGAUCCUAUAUGUGGACCAGAAUGCAGCAGUGAGCUGGUUGGGCCAGUCCAGAAAUGUGUGACUUGUGGAGAAGAAUUCUCUUUUUCAAGUAUUAAGGCUCAUAGUGAUGAAUGCAUGAGAUUGGGAAAUUGAGCCAGAUCCUGCAAAGGCAGCAAAGAUGUUCAAAGACAACAUUUUGAAUCUGCAUGCAACUGGAAAACCUCUAAGUCUUGCCAUGGAUCUUAGAGACAGUGCAGAGGAUAGGGAAAUAGCAAUACUUUCUUUUUAUAAGAAGGCUCAUGUUGAGUGGGCUUCCCCUUUGACAUGCACACUGAAGGGAGAUCCAGCAAUUGGUGAUGGCGUGACUCGCCAUUUCUUUGCAACAAUCAUGUCCAAACUUCAGCAUGGUUUUGAUGUCAGUUUUGGGCCAGGGGGAACUCUUCUGUUUGAGGGUGAAAAAGAUCAUUUGAUUCCCUCCACUUCCCACUUCCUUCUGGAGAGCGACUUUUUUGUUGUUGCUGGCCGAAUGAUUGGUCAUUCAUUCUUACAUGAUGGGCCAUGUCUCGGUGGACUGAGCCUGGCAAUCCUACAUGUGCUCUUUAAUGGUUCCCCAGAAGAAGCCACAAUAGAUAUUAAGGACUGUGCUGACCUUGAUAUCUGUGAGACAAUUAAGUUGGUAUGA
ensembl:lncRNA